UAGGGAAUCUUCCACAAUGGGCGCAAGCCUGAUGGAGCAACACCGCGUGAGUGAAGAAGGGUUUCGGCUCGUAAAGCUCUGUUGUUAAAGAAGAACACGUAUGAGAGUAACUGUUCAUACGUUGACGGUAUUUAACCAGAAAGUCACGGCUAACUACAUGUCAG
rnacentral:rRNA from 1 species